AAUGAACGUUGGCGGCGUGGAUUAGGCAUGCAAGUCGCGCGACAAGUCUCUUUUAGCUUGCUAUUUGAGACAGAGGAGCGGCGAAAGGGUGAGUAACGCGUGGAUACCUGCCCCUAGGCCCGGGAUAGCGUCGGGAAACUGGCGGUAAUACCGGAUAAUAUCCCUGGAUCAAAGGUGUGAUUCCGCCUAGGGAUGGGUCCGCGUCCUAUUAGCUUGUUGGUGGGGUAAAAGCCUACCAAGGCCAAGAUGGGUACCGGGUGUGAGAGCAUGGCCCGGCACACUGGGACUGAGACACUGCCCAGACACCUACGGGUGGCUGCAGUCGAGAAUCUUCCGCAAUGGGCGCAAGCCUGACGGAGCGACGCCGCGUGCGGGAUGAAGGCCCUCGGGUUGUAAACCGCUGUCAGUGAGGAGCAAAUCUCUAGGAGUAAUCUUCUAGAGUUGAGCGAUUCGCAGAGGAAGCGCAGGCUAAGUUCGUGCCAGCCGCCGCAGUAACAC
rnacentral:rRNA from 1 species